rnacentral:lncRNA from 12 species
CAACUAUAUUAGGGGUCAUGAUAUCUACCUUUCACUAUUGCUUUGAGUAUUGAUUGUAAUAGCAUAUGUAAAGCAAUUGUGGCGUAGGCCACGUUGUAGGUACAUAAGGUACACGCCGCCUUACUUGUCAGGCUCUGGUCCUCUAUUCAUAUAUCAGUAGGUCAAUGUCAUUGCUGGGACAAUACAGCUUAUAGCAGUACAGAGAUGAAGGAAAAGAAACUAUAUUAGAGUCAGCUAAAUGUUCCUUAAUAUCCUAUCUUCUUGUUAGUGAUAGAACUCACACAUUCUGGUCCCGCACAGGAUUUCUCAUCUAAAAACUACAUUUCCCAAUGUGACCAGAUUCUACCAGUGGAAGUUAGGAUGUGUACAACUUCUGUACUGCGCCACUUGCCUUCUACCUCUUCUUUCUCUUCCCACAGCAUGCUUAUUGGUGAAACAUUACUGAGCCUAAAGU